rnacentral:rRNA from 1 species
CGAGAUGCUCAGGAGUCUCGUGGGCUCGGAGAUGUGUAUAAGAGACAGGAUGUGGAGAUGUCCAGACAACCAGGAGGUUGGCUCAGAAGCAGCCACCCUUUAAAGAGUGCGUAACAGCUCACUGGUCGAAUGACUCUGCGCCGAAAAUUUACCGGGGCUAAGCAUAAUACCGAAGCUAUGGAUUUAUAGAGAAUAUAAGUGGUAGGGGAGCGUUCCAGUCAGCGAGGAAGCAUGAUCGUAAGGACAUGUGGAGCGGCUGGAAGAGAGAAUGCCGGUGUGAGUAGCGGCACGUGGGUGAGAAUCCCACGCACCGAAGACCCAAGGUUUCCAGAGGAAGGUUCGUCCGCUCUGGGUAAGUCGGGACCUAAGGCGAGGCCGAGAGGCGUAGUCGAUGGACAACGGGUGGAUAUUCCCGUACCUGGCGUGAGGGCGAUGGAGUGACGGAGAAGGCUAGGCGAUCCAGCUGCUGGAAUAGCUGGUGCAAGCGAGGUAGGGGACAUCCAGGCAAAUCCGGAUGUCAUAACCCGAAGGCGUGAAGCGUAUGGAACAUUACGAUAAGUACAGAAGUCGCCGAAGCCAUCUUCCAAGAAAAGCUUCUAGCGAUACCUCAAGUCAGCCCGUACCGAAAAUGGACACACAUGGGUGAGGAGAGAAUCCUAAGGUGAGCGAGAGAACUAUAGCUAAGGAACUCUGCAAAAUGACUCCGUAACUUCGGGAGAAGGAGUGCUCAGUGAAAGCUGAGCCGCAGUAAAACGGCCCAAGCGACUGUUUACCAAAAACACAGCUCUCUGCCAAGACGCAAGUCGAAGUAUAGGGGGUGACGCCUGCCCGGUGCUGGAAGGUUAAGAGGAGUGGUCAGUCUUAAGGCGAAGCCAUGAAUUGAAGCCCCAGUAAACGGCGGCCGUAACUAUAACGGUCCUAAGGUAGCGAAAUUCCUUGUCAGGUAAGUUCUGACCCGCACGAAAGGCGUAACGAUUUGGGCGCUGUCUCAGCUGUAGACUCGGUGAAGUCUUAGUACCUGUGAAGAUGCAGGUUACCCGCGACUAGACGGAAAGACCCCAUGGAGCUUUACUGUAGCUUGAUAUUGGAUUUUGAUGCAUGAUGUACAGGAUAGGUAGGAGACUGGGAGACGGAUACGCCAGUAUUCGAGGAGUCGACGUUGGGAUACUACCCUUGAUGCAUUGAAGUUCUAACCGGACGUCGUGAAGCCGAUGACGGGACAGUGUCAGGUGGGCAGUUUGACUGGGGCGGUCGCCUCCUAAAGAGUAACGGAGGCGCCCAAAGAUACCCUCAGCAUGGUUGGAAAUCAUGCGCAGAGUGCAAAGGCAGAAGGGUGUUUGACUGCGAGACAUACAGGUCGAGCAGGGACGAAAGUCGGGCUUAGUGAUCCGGCGGUGCCGAAUGGAAGGGCCGUCGCUCAACGGAUAAAAGCUACCCUGGGGAUAACAGGCUGAUCUCCCCCAA